CAGUCGCCGCGGUAACACGUAGGGUGCGAGCGUUAAUCGGAAUUACUGGGCGUAAAGCGUGCGCAGGCGGUUGUGUAAGGCAGGUGUGAAAUCCCCGGGCUUAACCUGGGAACUGCGCUUGUGACUGCACAGCUAGAGUAUGGCAGAGGGGGGUGGAAUUCCACGUGUAGCAGUGAAAUGCGUAGAGAUGUGGAGGAACACCGAUGGCGAAGGCAGCCCCCUGGGCCAAUACUGACGCUCAUGCACGAAAGCGUGGGGAGCAAACAGGAUUAGAUACCCCCGUAGUCCCUGUCUCUUAUAC
rnacentral:rRNA from 1 species